UUGAACGCUGGCGGCAGGCCUCACACAUGCACGUCGAACGGUAACAGGAAGCAGCUUGCUGCUUCGCUGACGAGUGGCGGACGGGUGAGUAAUGUCUGGGAAACUGCCUGAUGGAGGGGGAUAACUACUGGAAACGGUAGCUAAUACCGCAUAACGUCGCAAGACCAAAGAGGGGGACCUUAGGGCCUCUUGCCAUCGGAUGUGCCCAGAUGGGAUUAGCUAGUAGGUGGGGUAACGGCUCACCUAGGCGACGAUCCCUAGCUGGUCUGAGAGGAUGACCAGCCACACUGGAACUGAGACACGGUCCAGACUCCCACGGGAGGCAGCAGUGGGGAAUAUUGCACAAUGGGCGCAAGCCUGAUGCAGCCAUGCCGCGUGUAUGAAGAAGGCCUUCGGGUUGUAAAGUACUUUCAGCGGGGAGGAAGGGAGUAAAGUUAAUACCUUUGCUCAUUGACGUUACCCGCAGAAGAAGCACCGGCUAACUCCGUG
rnacentral:rRNA from 1 species